GUGUGUGUGUGUGUGUGUGUGUGUGUGUGUGUGUGUGUGUGUGUGUGUGUGUGUGUGUGUGUGUGUGUGUGUGUGUGUGUGUGUGUGUGUGUGUGUGUGUGCGUGCAUGUGUGUGAGUGAGUGAGUGCAUGCUCCCUCAGCCUGUGUCUAUGAAGCUAAUGCAUACUCCCACCUGUCAUUCAGCUCCAGUUAUGUCUUGUGUGUGUCUCUUCUGAUGGAGAGCUCCUGAUCUCGGGGUAGGACACACACUCAUCACACACAUUGCUGAUAUACGCCUCCUGCCUUGGCAACUAAACAUUGACUUAUGUGCCUGUCGUACUUAUCUUUUCUAAUUUGUUUUGAUUUAUUAUAUGUUGUAAAAUCAUUUGCACAUUCGGGACACAUUUAGUUUGAACUGAUCUCUCCAUGGUAAAAAAAUCUUCUUUUUUUCUGUACUGUAAACAGCAGAUGCCACUGCUGAGCACUGAUCCUGCUGUUCUCUCAGUCGGCCACAGGAGGAGUGUAUUUUGUUGUGUUUGCAUUUCUCUGUGGUUCCCUGGCUUCAAUUGAAACACACUGGAGAACCUGGGAAUCCUGCUCCACACUUUGAAACAGCACGAAAGGUACGUGACUGCUGUCCCUGUCUCCCACCAUGAGGUGGAUUGCAACCGGCUCCAUGGACAGAACCGUAAACGUGUGGAGAAUAGGAAAUGGAGUCGACAGAACUAGUAAAUACUUAAAAGAGAAUUGUUUAAGGUGGCUCCUACAAAUGCACAAUCACUCCUCCUUUUUCCAAACAACAGUCAGUUAGCAUUGGUCCAAAACCCAGGAGUGAGUGCUUAAGACUCCCAGAAGAGUAUUUUGGGAGAAAUCCAGCCGGAGAAGUUCAUAUUGCAUGUGUAUUGCCGUCUGACUGCAGUGUCUAGAGGAGGAAUUAUGAUUGAUGUUUAUUGAAGCAGCAGGGCUAACAACCUCUAAGCCUCAGAAAGCUGUUGAAAGCUCCUUAAAAAAGUUCAAACCAACACGAAAGCAAACAUUGGAAACAUUAAAUGAAAAGGUGCAAUCAUUAGACAUCUGGAGGCCUCAAAUCUUCAUCACUGCAGCUCCUCAUCAAGUUGAUCUAACAAAGCAAAUUCCACCUCAAUGAAGAUCAGCCUUUUUAUGCCUCUUUUUAUCUCCCCUUUCUUUUAAUCUCAGUUAGUUCUCUCUAUUCACAUGAUAAAGUUAUUCCCUUUUAUGUUGCAGCUGAUACAUUAAGGCAGACAGUCUGCCAAGAUAAAUAGAUCUAGCACUCAGUUUUCUCCCCUGCUGUUUUACUGUGUUUUGUUCUUUUUGUUCAUAUAUAUAGUUAUAUAUAUGAGAGUCUUGCAAAGGUGUUUUAGAUCAUAUAAUGUCUUGAUAUAUCCUGGAAACAUCUUGUCUUUUAUGCAUGUGAUGAAAAGCUUUUCUUGUGAUUUUGUCCACUGAUUUGAAAUGGUAUACUCAGAUGGGUGAACCUAAAGAAUGUGAACAAAGGUGCUUUGGUGAGCAAAUAUUGUUAUUCAACGUUUUCCUUAAUGGCAGCAAGUCCCAUGACAGGAUUGUAACAGCACUAUGUUGGUCCAUCUCUCAACAAUUUCAAGCACAUAAGAGUGGGUCACUAACCCUGAAAGUUCAACUUUAUGCUCAACGUAUUGACUUCACAUCCCCCCCACGCACUUGAUGCCAGGCUCUUAACCAAAGGUGUUUUCACUUCACAUUGUUUAAUGAGAUCUCUCUGCUCACUCUAAUUAGUUGUGUUGCACCUGUUAGGGCGGGGCCUCCAACCCUGUUAUCAUUGUUUUUAUUGGAUAGAGUUGGCAGCGAGUUCAAUCAGAGUGAUUAGAAACACCUGUGUUCAUGGGCAGAGUAACCUUUCAGUGCUUCAUAAACUUGUAUUUUAAAAUUGAACUGAACACAAACAUGACAAUUGGAUUUGUGUGAGACUAUUUCCAACCUUGAACUUACACACAUCAGGCAUGCUGGAUGCUGAACAGACCUCAGGGUAAACCAGGAACACACUGGAAAGAUGACAUCUCGUCUGGCUUUGGAACGCCUCAGGUUCCCCUUUCAGGACGGCCGUGCUCAGCCUGCUACAUGCUGUCAGUGUGACUCGGACCCAGAUAAGCAGCAGUAAAUGGUUUGAUAAGGGAU